rnacentral:rRNA from 1 species
GAUGAACGCUGGCGGCGUGCUUAACACAUGCAAGUCGAACGGAAAGGCCCAAGCUUGCUUGGGUACUCGAGUGGCGAACAGGUGAGUAACACGUGGGUGAUCUGCCCUGCACUUCGGGAUAAGCCUGGGAAACUGGGUCUAAUACCGGAUAGGACCACAUUUUGGAUGGUGUGGUGGAAAGUUUUUCGGUGUGGGAUGAGCUCGCGGCCUAUCAGCUUGUUGGUGGGGUAAUGGCCUACCAAGGCGUCGACGGGUAGCCGGCCUGAGAGGGUGUACGGCCACAUUGGGACUGAGAUACGGCCCAGACUCCUACGGGAGGCAGCAGUGGGGAAGAUUGCACAAUGGGCGCAAGCCUGAUGCAGCGACGCCGCGUGGGGGAUGACGGCCUUCGGGUUGUAAACUCCUUUCGCUAGGGACGAAGCGUUUUUGUGACGGUACCUGGAGAAGAAGCACCGGCUAACUACGUG